GAUGAACGCUAGCGGCAGGCUUAAUACAUGCAAGUCGAGGGGCAGCAUGAUUGUAGCAAUACAAUUGAUGGCGACCGGCAAACGGGUGCGGAACACGUACACAACCUUCCAACAAGUGGGGGAUAGCCCAGAGAAAUUUGGAUUAAUACCCCGUAACAUAGCGAUGUGGCAUCACAUUGCUAUUAUAGAUUUUGCGCUUGUUGAUGGGUGUGCGGCUGAUUAGAUAGUUGGCGGGGUAACGGCCCACCAAGUCUACGAUCAGUAGCUGAUGUGAGAGCAUGAUCAGCCACACGGGCACUGGGACACGGGCCCGACUCCUACGGGAGGCAGCAGUAAGGAAUAUUGGACAAUGGACGCAAGUCUGAUCCAGCCAUGCCGCGUGAAGGAUUAAGGUCCUCUGGAUUGUAAACUUCUUUUAUAAGGGACGAAAAAAGGCUUUUCUAAGUCGUCUGACGGUACCUUAUGAAUAAGCACCGGCUAACUCCGUGCCAGCCGCCGCCGUAAAAC
rnacentral:rRNA from 1 species